UAUUUUGACUAUACGAAGGUAUUGAAAUAAGGCUUUAAAUGGGCGCUAAGAGAAUGAUUUAACAAUUAUUAGCUUUCUUUGUUAAAUAAAUUGAAUUUAAUUUUUUUGUGAAGAAGCAAAAAUAAAAUUUAGGGACAAGAAGACCCUAUGAAUUUUAAUUUAUUAAUAAAUUUUUAUAUUAAUUAGUAAAUUUAAUUGGGGUGAUGGAAAAAGAAUAAGGAUCUUUUUUUAUAAAAUUAAUUUGUUCCGUUAAUAACGAUUAAAUGAAAAAAAUACUCUAGGGAUAACAGCGUAAUAAUUUUGGAUAGUUCAUAUAGAUAAAAUAGUUUGCGACCUCGAUGUUGGAUUAGGAUUCUUUUUUGGUGAAGAAGUUAAAAUAAGAAGUUUGUUCAACUUUUAAAUUCC
rnacentral:rRNA from 1 species